CCAGCAUGGUGAAAUCCCAUCUCUACUAAAAGUACAAAAAAUUAGCUGGGCAUGGUAGUAUACGUCUGUAGUCCCAGCUACUCGGGAGGCUGAGGCGGGAGAAUUGUUUGAACCCAGCAGGUGGAGGUUGCAGUGAGCUGAGAUUGCACCACUGCACUCCAGCCUAGGUGACAGAGUGAGACUCUGUUUCAAAAAAAAAAAAAAAUUAAAUAAAUAAAUAAAAUCUAAAAAGUAAAAUUAACAUAUGAUCUAGCAACCCUACUUCUGGGUCUAUAUUCAAAGGAAACAAAGUUGCUAUCUCAAAGAGAUAUCUGCACCCUCAGGUUCAUUGCAACACUAUUCACAAUAGCCAAGAUAUGGAAACAGCCUGUAUCCAGCAAUGGAUGAAUUGAUAAAGUCAUUAUGGCAUAUAUUUACAAUGGAAUAUUGUUCAGCUUUAAAAAAGGAAAUGCUGCCAUUUGUGACAGUGUGGAUGACAUUAAGUGAAGUAAAUCAGACACAGAAAGACAAACGUUGCAUGAUAUCAUUUAUAUGUGGAAUCUAAAAUAGUCAAACUCAGAGUAACAGAGAGUAAGUAGAAUGGUGUUUGCCAGAAAUUGGGGUUUGGGAGAAAUAGGGAGAUGUUGGUCAAAAGGCACAAACCUUCAGCUGUAAGAUAAAUAAGCUCUGGAGAUCUAAUAUACAGUAUUGUGACAAUUGUUCAUAGACUAUAGUUAAUAAUAACGUAUUAUGUACUUGAACUAUGACAGUAGAUCUUUAGUGCUCUCACCACACACUCACACAAAAGGCCUUCAUCAGGUGAUGAAUAUGUUAAUUAGCUUGAUUGUGAGAAUCAGUACAAAAGGUAUAUUUAUAUCAAAACACCAUGUUAUACACCUUAAAUAUACACAAUUUUUUAUUUGUCAAUCAUACUUCAAUAAGAAAAGUUAAUUUUGACAGGUUUUUGCCAGUUUUUUUCAUUGCUUUUGUGGAGGGAUGAAAUGUUGAGGUCCUUCUUUACUCCAUGGUUUUUGCUAACAUUGCUGACUCUCAUCCUAUUUUUAUUUAAUAAUAUUUACUAUAGCUCAUAGUAAAAAAAUUAAGUAAUAAGUUAUUCAUGUGACCAAUUGGUUUUUGAUUAAUAUUAGUUUUUCUCCUGAGAGCGUAGACUCCUUUAGGGGAGGGUCUUGUCUGUUUAGAUUACUGUUGUAUUCCUAGUUCUUAGCAUAAUGUCCAACAUUUGAGCAUUUGAUCAAUAUGUAUAUGUUGAAUGAGUGAAUAAGGAAAUUAGAUAGUUAAUUACUGUGAGAACAUGGUAAUUACUUGGUGGGAUCUAGAGUCACAGAGCAGUGUUUAAAUCCCAGCUCCAUCACUUUGUGGGUGUAUUAUAAUGUGACAACCUGUCAGUUUUCUUAUCUGUAAGAUGGGAAGAAUAGUACAAAUCUUAGCUUUGGCUAACAUGUGCCAAGAUAUCAUUAUUUUUCAGGUCCUGUGCUAAGUCCUUGAAAUGUAUUAUCAUACUCCUCAUAAAACAUUUUAAGUCCUUAGGUGUUCCAGACACUCUGCUGGGCAUUGGAUGUACAAAGAUCACACAACACAGUGCCUUCUGCAAAUAAUCGCACAGUCCAUUGGAGGAAACAGUCAUUUGAAUAGUCAAUUAUAAAGCAAUGAUAGGGACAUAUGGAGGGCUUUAUGGAAACACGGAUAAUGGGCUCUGUUAUGGGUUGAAUUGUGUCCUCCUCUCAAAGUCAUAUGUUGAAAUCCUAGUCCCCAGUACCCCAGAAUGUCACCUUAUUUGGAAAUGGGGUUUUUCAAGAUGUAAUCAAGUUAAAAUGAAGUUAAUUAUGGUGGGCCCUUAUCCAAUAAGGCUGAUCUCCUUAUAAAAAGGGGAAUUUGGGGGACAGGCACACACUGAGGAGAAGAACAUGAGAAGAUGAAAGGAGAGAUGGGAGUGAUGCUUCUACAAACUGGGAACUCUAAGGAUCACCAGCAAAUCACAAAAGCUAGGUGAGGAGCUUCGAACGGAUUCUUCUUCACAGCUCUCAGAAGGAAACAACCCUGCCAACAACCUUGACCUUGACUUGUACCCUCCAGGACUGUGGGACAUAAAUUUCUGUGGUUUAAGCUAUCUAGUUUUAGGUGCCUUUUAAUGGCAGCUCUAGGAAACUAGUACUGGGUCUUAACUCAGCUUUGGGGAAAGGGAUCAGAGAAGGCUGCCGGGAGGAGAUGACAGAGUGAACUGUAAUAGACAGAGCUGAUUGAAUAGCAAGUUGCCAAGUGAAAGGGUUGGGGAAGGGUGUCAAGGUGGCAUUCCAGGUGGCUAGGGAGGCAACAUGGGCAGUAAAGUAUUGAGGUGAGAAGCAGCUGGUGAGUGAGGAAUUUGGUGAGGUUUGAGAGUGGUCUCAAGUAGGAAGUAGGAAGAGACAGGAUACGCCAAGCACAGGGCUUGGGGAUGUGCACCAGUGCACAAGGCCAACGAAGACAAGUUUCCUGACCCCGUGGAGAGGACACUUACAUCCCACACUGGGAAGCCACAGUGGAGCAACUAACCUCACGUCACUCUCCUGUUCCCAGUCACCACUGAGCUCUGGUGGUUGGACCAGUGACUUAGUUCCACAAACUUGGUGCCUUGAUGGGGAAAAGUCCUUGUUCAGCCAUGAAAGAAGCACCACAUUUCUGGACUGCUCAAGUUCCAUUCUUGGGUACUCGAAGGUCUCACUGCUCUAUCUGGGGUUUCCUUUCUUUCAGAGAAAAUGAUUUCUUCCCCUUUAUCAUUAAGCAAAAACUCCAAGAUGAUGCUAAUUAUAAGGACAUUUAAGCAUCAUUUAAGGUGAUCACAUCCUGAUUCCGGGACAUUUGUGUCUGAAUUUCCUCACAACAGGAAUACUGCCAGUGAGGAGGCUUUCCCUUAGCCAUUACACUUUACAAAAUCUAGCUCAAAAGGUCAGAAGCUGUUCCUGUAAAGGCUGCCUGAUGUUCCGUGCUCUGUCCUCCUUACAGGAUUCAGGGCGCUUUUGUAUAAAAGUUUCCACCUCUGGUAGACAUUUCAAAAGACUCUUGUGAAAAGAAUAUCUGGAAGCAUAUAGCCAGAAAUGCACAGAGAUUUAAUCUGAUUAAUUAAGAAGUUUUUUUAUUUUAAUAUCAACCCAACUUUUAUAUAAUCUUUAAAAAUUCUAGUGCUUCUGGAUCAAAGGUGAGGUUAUUCACCCCAGGAGGAUCUUUAAAUUGAGGAGUAUUUGUAACCUUUUUCUUUUAGAUUUAUUUAAAAUUAAGCCUAAAGUAAAAUGUUAAACACUAAAAUAUAAUGGUUUUUGCCUUCAUAAAAUUUAUUUCAGAGCACAUUUGAAUCAUACAUUAAAUAUCCUGGUUACGAGUACCAUAUGUUUCUUCUGAAAAUGGAAGAAUUGGCUUAUAAUCCAAGUGUCUUCUUAAUUUUGUUUUUUUAAAAAUGACGUGAUUAUAUUCAGAUGAAGAAUGUAUGUAUAUUUAAAGUCUAAUUCUUUGUUCAAAAGAAUUAAAUGGUCCAUACAAAUACAUAGUUUAAGAUAAUUAAGGUUUACCUGUACACUAGAGAAAAGUUAAUGACAAUUAAAUGACAUUCCUGCAACACACUACACUGACAUUUACAUUGAUCAGAUACUUGUUAGGGGAAGCAGAGGUACUUGGUUCUAUGGACAUGUCCCCUCUAAAAUUCAUGUUGAAACUUAAUUCCCAUUGUAUUAAGAGGCGAGACCUUCUGGGAAGUGAUUACCUUAUGAGGGAGGCUCUGCCCUCAAGAAUAAGAUUGGCAACUUUAUAAAAGGGCUGGAGAGGCUGAAUGCAGUGGCUCAUGCUUGUCAUCCCAGAGCUUUGGGAGGCCCAGAGGACCACUUGGGACAAGGAGUUUGAGAUGAGCUUGGGCAACAUAGCAAGACCCCAUCUGUACACAAAAAAUACAAAAUUAGCCAGGUCUGAUGGCAUGUGCCUGUAGCUCCAGGUACUUGGGAAGGCUGAGGUGGAAGGAUCCCUUGAGCCCAGGAGUUUGAGAUUGCAGUGAGCUAUGAUCACACCACUGCAUUUCAGCCUGGGUGAGAGAGUGAGACCCUAUCUCUAAAAAAAUAAAAUAAAAAAAUAAAUAAUAUAAAGGGUGGAGAGAACUAGUGAUCAUUCCUUUUGCCCCUCCACCUUCUGCCAGGUGGGGAUGCUACCAGUAGGAGAGCUGUAAAGGAGCCGGCCCCCACCAGACACUGAACCUGCUGAUGUCUUAUCUUGGACUUUCUAUCCUCUAGAACCAUGAGGAAUAAAUUUUGUUCUUUAUAAAUUACCUAGUCUCAGGUAUUUUG
rnacentral:lncRNA from 10 species